rnacentral:rRNA from 1 species
UACAGAGGGUGCAAGCGUUAAUCGGAAUUACUGGGCGUAAAGCGUGCGUAGACGGUUACAUAAGUCGGGUGUGAAAGCCCCGGGCUCAACCUGGGAAUUGCAUUCGAGACUGCGUAGCUAGGGUGCGGAAGAGGGAAGCGGAAUUUCCGGUGUAGCGGUGAAAUGCGUAGAUAUCGGAAGGAACACCAGUGGCGAAGGCGGCUCACUGGACUGGUAUUGACGCUGAGGUGCGAAAGCGUGGGGAGCAAACAGG